CAGUAGCCGCGGGAAUACGUAGGUGGCAAGCGUUGUCCGGAUUUAUUGGGCGUAAAGGGAGCGCAGGCGGUUUAGUAAGUCUGAAGUUAAAGGCAUUGGCUCAACCAAUGUAUGCUUUGGAAACUGUUAGACUUGAGUGCAGAAGGGGAGAGUGGAAUUCCAUGUGUAGCGGUGAAAUGCGUAGAUAUAUGGAGGAACACCGGUGGCGAAAGCGGCUCUCUGGUCUGUCACUGACGCUGAGGCUCGAAAGCCUGGGUAGCGAACAGGAUUAGAUACCCCCGUAGUCCCUGUCUCUUAUACA
rnacentral:rRNA from 1 species